GCUAUCGCUUUUGGAUGGACCCGCGGCGUAUUAGCUAGUUGGUGAGGUAACGGCUUACCGAGGCGAUGAUACGUAGCCGGACUGAGAGGUUGAUCGGCCACAUUGGGACUGAGACACGGCCCAAACUCCUACGGGAGGCAGCAGUAGGGAAUCUUCCACAAUGGGCGCAAGUCUGAUGGAGCAACGCCGCGUGAGUGAAGAAGGUUUUCGGAUCGUAAAACUCUGUUGUUAGAGAAGAACGGUGCAGGCAGAGUAACUGUUCACGGGAUGACGGUAUCCAACCAGCAAGUCACGGCUAACUACGUGCCAGCAGCCGCGGUAAUACGUAGGUGGCAAGCGUUAUCCGGAUUUAUUGGGCGUAAAGGGAGCGCAGGCGGUCUUUUAAGUCUGAUGUGAAAGCCCUCGGCUUAACCGAGGGUAGUGCAUCGGAAACUGGAGACUUGAGUACAGAAGAGGACAGUGGAACUCCAUGUGUAGCGGUGAAUGCGUAGAUAUAUGGAAGA
rnacentral:rRNA from 1 species